UAUGGCAGUGGACCAGACAGAAAAGCCCCUGCCCCUGCAGAGCUUGCAUUUUGCACUUAUUUAUUUCACGACUCUGUUGGCCCACACUGGUGGCCAUCAGAGGAGCCAGGAACUUGUAGGAGACAGUUUUCUCCUUGUACUAUGUGGGUCCUGGAUAGCAAACAAGCAGUCAGACUUGGCUGCAAGCACCUUUACCUGAGGAGCCAUCUUGUCUGCCCAAGAGUUUGCCUUCUAGUAUAUGCACAGGGAAGGGCUCAUUAGAAGCUUAGUGCUUACUCUCCUUCCUGAUAGGCUCUUCCCAGGUGAGCAACCAGAAAGAAGUCUGUCUCCUCUCUUCCCCUCGGGGCCCUACUUCCCCUCCGCUAUAGUCCCAGUACCUCACAGAACUCUCAGGUACACCCCUUGUGGAAGGGAAUGGGUACCCAGCUCCAAACAGCAGCUCUAUAUAACAGCGAGACAUUUAGCAGUAGGAAGAGCUGCCCCUGGCUCUGAGGAUGGAGAGAGGUUUGUGUCUUAGAGGAGUCACUGGGCAGAUGUGGUGCACACACUCCUUCCCCCUCAGACACGGAGGCCACAGGGAAGUGCUCGCUGAGUGCUGAGUGAGAUUCUCCGGGUCCAGCCUGUCCUGCAAUGGGGACAAGUCACCUGCUCUCCCGACUGCUUUAGGUUCUGGGUGGGGGAGCAGGGACUCCAGACAGAUGAGGAGAAACAGAGACAGGCUCGGGAACUCUUCUCCUUGAUCUCCAAGUCUCAGAACUGGGCAUCACAGCUGUGAUGGUAGCCCAGGGGACCCCAUGGAGGAGUUAGCUGAGCCCACCUAGGGCACCCCAUGCUGGAGAGAAGUCCUAAGGCAGGCUGGCUGAGCCAAUGUUGAAGCCUUGUGCUUGGUGGGAGCCAGGGAGGUAGGAGGCCAUGAAAUUGAUGCUCUUCCUUCCUGCUCAUGCCCAGAUCUGGAGGCUGAUUGGUGGACAGAGGUGCCAAUCAAUAAGCUCUCUGAACAACCAUCCGGCUACUCCCUUGAAAGCCUCCCCUUCUUCCAGAGCUUUUCUUUGGAGCAAGUUCCUUCAGAUAUAAAGUAACAAUAGACACAGCCAGGUGCUUCCCCACCUGCAAGGCACCCAGCUUGUCUAAAAGUUGUGGAUCCCUGGCUGCCUCCUGCAGGCUGUGGACGCUGCACUCCAUGUCUCCUAUGCCUCUCCACGCUUCAACCAGGUUUUCCAGAGUGAAGGUGUGGGCAAGCAGAGGGGCGAGCCCAAGUGUGUGCUGUGGCACCGUGUGCAGGGUGAAGAAUCACAGGAGAUCAAUGGCCCCAGGGACUCUAAAGCUGUUCCAGUCCCCUCCACGGGAGCAAAUUUGUGCAAUGGUAUGCAUCUGUGCAAAGGAAAGGGUGGGUCAUUGCUAGUCUGUCCAGAGAUAGGCUUCUCAUUAGCAGGCCAGGCACCACCACACAAGGUCUUAAAUGAUACAACAGCUCAGUGAAGUAGGAGAGGUGAUGACCCUCCUGGAUGUAGCAUCCAGGCUGGACCUAGAACCCUAUGCAACAUCCUCCAGAGCUGUGAUUCCACACUGAGACCCAGGGGGCUUAUGCACGGGGCUCAGGGACAGGUGUAAGAACACAUGGGCCUAGGGUGUGGGCAAGCUGGCUGUGGCUUAGAUGCUCUGGGGUGGUGGGCUCAACAGAAGCAGGAAAAGUGGGUGGGUGGACUGGAACCUGCGGGCAUGGGUCGCUGCAGUCCUUGGGAGAGGCGGGGGAGGGGAGGUAGGAGCCGGUGCAUGUGAGAGAGGCUGUGAGAAGUGCGGAGACUUUUUUCCUUGUUUCUUUCUCUUCUGACUUCAACCAGGAACAGAUGUGUGAGGGGGCUGACGAAUUGGAAACAUCUGUAACAACUGUCCGAGCUGAAGUGUAAUAAAUAGGCCUUUCAUCACAUUCCCUGGAAGGGGGUCGCUGGGGACAGGCUCAGGGGAGCCCUGAAAGGGCUUGGUGGUAGAUAGUGGCCUGAGGAUGGGUGAGUAGAAAGACAGACAGACUGGCCUCUGAAAGUAUAGAGACAGAGCGGCUCCUGGCCUCUCCCAGCAAACCUCAGUUUUCCUGACUGUGCAGUGGGUUUAGCAUUCCUCUGAGUUCUGAGACUGGACACCCAAGGAGUAGGCAGUUUUCAGCUGACAUAGGCAGAUAGUUGGCCAGACCAUGGGUCUCAGAAUAAACCAUGCCUCUACCCCUUGGCCAUGCCUCCUCCUUGGCACUCCCUGUAAUGGUCCCCAGAAGUCUUAGCCCUUGGAGCUUACAUGAAUCAAGUUUUUUGAGGAGAGGCACAUGGUCCAUGCAGUUAGGAUAUUGGGUAGGUAGGAACUGGAAGAGAUGCGGAGACUGGAGUUUACCAGUUUGGAUAAGAGUGUGCUGGGAGCCUUAUCCCAUACUUCAUCGCUGUCUAUCUCAGACCCACACACAAACCAAAGAACUCCCUGCCAGAUGAGGAUCCAGAGAACCGGCGACAGUCUGAUACAGCACCCAGGGGCCCCAGGGAGGAGGUGUGUAGUAGCCAGGCUUCCAGUGAGCUGGGUCUUCUAUGACGGGUUCUCCCUAGGCUAGAUACGAGAGGUAGUCAGCCCUGACUGCAAGCUCAGGAGGGUCAAGGGUCUUCCCAAAUUUUGGGGUGCAGAGACUUUUAUCUCCUGGAUCUCAGGAGCUGUACCCCAGAGGAGGAGGAUCUCAAGAGUCUGUCCCAGCCUGGUGGCUUUGCCUGGGUCUUUGUUUAGUGCAGCAAAGACAGAGUCCCCUGAGACUCCUGAAGCCAGAAAAGGGACAAAGAGUCUUGUUUGCCCCUGAUCAAUAGCUGUGUGAUUCAGGUUGCCUAAGCAAGCUGCUGUGCGUCAGCUGCUCUGUGAAGUGAGUGCAGGUUAUCCUCACCUCACAAACCAAGUACAGCCACCUUUUGCAAGUGCGACACAUGUCACUAUGUACACGCAUCCAUACAAAUACCUCCAGGGCCAGCCUCUCCACAUGGCCCUAGGACUCUAUGCUCCAUCCAUCCUCAGGCACUGUGUAGAUGGUGACCACUCCCAUCUCGGAUGAUACCUACUCCAUCGAAGGCCUCCAAGACUUUGAACUUUCUGAGGGCGGACGCAGCCUCUUCCUCUUCUCAGGCAAUUGGUUGCCACACCUGUCUGUGUCUGGCGAGGGCCUCUUAACUCUUCCAGCUCACAUGUGGCAUUCGUUUGUGCAAGGUGUGUUCUGUGAGCUUUACACUUCAUAACUCAAUCAACCCUAACCACCAUUCAGGCCUCUCGUCGACAGCCCCAGGCUUCAGCGUCUUGUGUGGAGUCAUCGGUUGGUGAAGCCCAAAGAUCAGAUCACAAGGUUCACCUGAUGGAGCCCAAUGAGGACUCAUAGAGAACAGGACCGGACAUGGGAGUAAACUCCGACAUUCUCCACAUGUCACCCUGUCCUGGAACGAGAAGACACAUAAGACGGUCUGUGGCAGUGAGGCUGGUCACACGGCCAUCCAUGCGGAUAACUGAACUGAGGGCCUUGCGCAUCCUAGGCAAGAGGGCCACCACCGAGCCACGCCCCGUGCUCUCAUUUAAGCCUUAAAGCACGGAGAGAACAACCCAAAGAGCCACUGAUUGGUAGAAGAACAUCACAUGGUGCAUCUAUCAAGUUCAGUAAGAGUGCAGUGCACAGGGAUGAGGUGUGCUGACCCUCCGGACAUCAUGCUUGAGGACAGAAGCCAGACCCAGAAUCAGUGGCUGGGGAUCGGGAUGGGAACUGACUGCCCGUGGGUUUGGGCACUGAUAAGGAUGUUUCAAAUCAUACCAUGAUAUGGUUGCAUGGCUCCAGGAUUCACUAAAAAUCAGUGACUCAUAUACUUUGAGAAGUUUCAUGAAUGAAUUAUACUCCUUUGUACUUACUUAUGUUUUAUGUACAUUGGUGAUUUGACUG